rnacentral:rRNA from 1 species
ACUGAGUGGCGGACGGGUGAGUAACGCGUGGGUAACCUGCCUCAUACAGGGGGAUAACAGUUAGAAAUGACUGCUAAUACCGCAUAAGACCACAGUACCGUAUGGUACAGGGGUAAAAACUCCGGUGGUAUGAGAUGGACCCGCGUCUGAUUAGGUAGUUGGUGGGGUAACGGCCUACCAAGCCGACGAUCAGUAGCCGACCUGAGAGGGUGACCGGCCACAUUGGGACUGAGACACGGCCCAA